AACGAACGCUGGCGGCAGGCCUAACACAUGCAAGUCGAACGCACCGCAAGGUGAGUGGCGCACGGGUGAGUAACACGUGGGAAUGUACCCUUUGGUUCGGAAUAACGUCUGGAAACGGACGCUAAUACCGGAUGAGCCCUGUGGGGGAAAGAUUUAUCGCCAAAGGAGCAGCCCGCGUCUGAUUAGCUAGUUGGUGGGGUAAAGGCCUACCAAGGCGACGAUCAGUAGCUGGUCUGAGAGGAUGAUCAGCCACACUGGGACUGAGACACGGCCCAGACUCCUACGGGAGGCAGCAGUGGGGAAUAUUGGACAAUGGGCGAAAGCCUGAUCCAGCCAUGCCGCGUGAGUGAUGAAGGCCUUCGGGUUGUAAAGCUCUUUCGCACGCGACGAUGAUGACGGUAGCGUGAGAAGAAGCCCCGGCUAACUUCGUGCCAGCAGCCGCAGUAACAC
rnacentral:rRNA from 1 species